ACAGCUGUACAGGUUUGAGUUUAUUGUGUAUAUUCUAAAAUACACACAGGAUCUGAAUUACACAUAAAGAGCUGUGCUUUCUGUAACUACUGGCUAUUUGACCAUCUUCAUCGUAGGAGAAUUUGUUUCCUGGCACCAGCCUUAAGUCCAUAUCCUUUCACAGAAAUCGGCACCAUUCAAGAAAUGUGCUUUGACUGUUCCAAAACCAGUUCACCUCAAUCUGCUUAGCACCCACUUAAAGCAAAGUACCAGGAGCCUUGUGGCGUUCUGCAUUAGCAGAACCUGCCUCUCCAUCAGAGAGAGACUGUUUGGGUCAAGGAUCCGAAAUUGCAUUCAAAACUGGUUUUGAAAUAAACAAAACAGGGUAACGUUAAAGUUUCUGGAAUGUCCUGACAUCAAGUCUAUUGAAAAAAUGAAGAACUAUCAUAAAAAAA